rnacentral:rRNA from 1 species
UACGGGGGGGGCAAGCGUUGUUCGGAAUUACUGGGCGUAAAGGGCUCGUAGGCGGCCAACUAAGUCAGACGUGAAAUCCCUCGGCUUAACCGGGGAACUGCGUCUGAUACUGGAUGGCUUGAAUCCGGGAGAGGGAUGCGGAAUUCCAGGUGUAGCGGUGAAAUGCGUAGAUAUCUGGAGAAACACCGGUGGCGAAGGCGGCAUCCUGGACCGGCAUUGACGCUGAGGAGCGAAAGCCAGGGGAGCAAACGGG